AGUGAACGCUGGCGGUAGGCCUAACACAUGCAAGUCGAACGGCAGCACAGUAAGAGCUUGCUCUUACGGGUGGCGAGUGGCGGACGGGUGAGGAAUACAUCGGAAUCUACUUUUUCGUGGGGGAUAACGUAGGGAAACUUACGCUAAUACCGCAUACGACCUACGGGUGAAAGCAGGGGAUCUUCGGACCUUGCGCGAUUGAAUGAGCCGAUGUCGGAUUAGCUAGUUGGCGGGGUAAAGGCCCACCAAGGCGACGAUCCGUAGUUGGUCUGAGAGGAUGGUGAAGCAGACUGGAAAUGGGGCACGGUCCCAGCUCCUACGGGAGGCGGCAGAGGGGAAUAUUGGACGAAGGGGGGGAGACUGAUGCAGACAGACCGGGUGGGUGAAGAAGGCCCUCCGGGUGUGAAAUCCCUUUGUUGGGAAAGAAAAGCAGCAGGUUAAUACCCCGCUGUUCUGACGGUACCCAAAGAAUAAGCACCGGCUAACUUCGUG
rnacentral:rRNA from 1 species